rnacentral:rRNA from 1 species
GCCUACGGCCAUACCACCCUGAAUGCGCCUGAUCUCGUCUGAUCUCGGAAGCUAAGCAGGGACUGGGUUGGUUAGUACCUGGGUGGGAGACCGCCUGGGGAUACCAGGUGUUGUAGGCU